GUUCGGCACCUCGGCUCCUCCUCUUCCUCUCUGUGUAUGUCGUCCUGCUUGUGCCGCGAAUUCGCGAGCUAGGUAGAUCCGGCGCCCGAUCGCCGUCGCGUCUGAUGCAACGGGAGCUCGGAGAGCUGCGAUGAUGAUUCCGCUCCCGGUGUCCGUUGCGCGCUGACAAAUGCGGCCCCGUUUGGCUGGUACGGUCAGUGUCGGUGGCUCCAGUGCAGUGUCGGUGUCUUCUAAUUUUGAUCCCACCGUUCUCCAAUUCAGCUCGAUCCUUCGAGCUUUCUCGGUUGCUCCAAUUAUGAUUCGAAAUUAAGUUGGCUUAGCUUCUCGGGAUCGGGAGAGUAGCACACAUGGAGAUGGAGCUGCCCUCUCAGGCUAACCACUUAACCAGGGCCACUGUCAGCUGAAUCUUGUCCUGAGCUGCUCCAUACUGAGCACCUUGAUGAUAGAUCUGUUGAAGAAGUGAUCAAAUUAGUCAAGAUCUUAGUUAAUUCUAGUUCACUUUAAAGGGAUCCAGUGGCAAACUUAGGUGUGUGGAUCUUCCAACUUGGAAUGGGAUGUAACAUAGACUUCAUCUACUGUGCCAAUUCAUUGUUCUUGCUUCUGUAAUUGGGAUCUGUGUUUGAUGUGGACCCUUUGUUGCUCCUGCAGAGGCUUAUGAUUCCUUGGAUCCAAAUGGCAACAUCACUAUAAAAUGGGAUAUUAUGCAGUGGACUCCUGAUGGAUAUGUCGUAAGUAGCAUGCCCACUCCAACAGCUGCAUCUCUUUCAUCUUCAACCUUGUAGGACCUUAUAUAUUCUAUUGAAUGUUCCGGUUUGACCUGUACAAUAUAUGUAAAAUGGCCAAUGGCUAGAGUAGAAAGCUACAUCACAGAAACAAGAAUAACAUGCAAAAUUUAUGUCAGCAGCAUGCUACGCAUACCCAAUUCAUGAUUUCCCAUAAAAUCUCUCCUGCAGGCUGUUGUCACAAUGUUCAACUACCAACAAUUCCGGCACAUUGGGGCACCUGGGUGGCAGCUUGGGUGGACAUGGGCAAAGAAGGAGGUCAUAUGGUCGAUGGUUGGGGCACAGACUACCGAACAGGGUGACUGUUCGAAGUUCAAGGGCAACACUCCCCACUGCUGCAAAAAAGAUCCCACGAUCGUCGAUUUACUUCCAGGCACUCCAUACAACAUGCAGAUUGCCAAUUGCUGCAAAGCAGGAGUUAUAAAUACAUUUAACCAGGACCCGGCAAAUGCUGCUGCCUCCUUCCAGAUUAGUGUAGGUCUUGCUGGGACUACCAAUAAGACUGUUAAGGUGCCGAAGAACUUCACUCUUAAGACUCCAGGUCCUGGGUACACAUGUGGGCGUGCCAUUGUUGGCAGGCCGACAAAGUUUUUCACCUCGGAUGGGCGCAGGGCAACCCAAGCUCUUAGUAAGUUGCUCAUCUAUUGGACUCUACAUUUUACUUGCUAUCAGUUGCUUGUGUACUUUGUGGAAAUGAGGUACAGCUAAAUCAUCGUAUUGUUCAGCGCGUUCCUAUUCCUUAAUCAGAAUUUCAGGUUACGUUACUUGCCAGAUUAGUUUUUUUCUCGAACAUGCAGGAGAGCUGCGUAUCUAUAUAUUAAGAAGUACUUGCCAGAUUAGUAAAAAAAUGAAAACGUUUUAACAGGAGGGAUUUAUUCUCAAAGAAGGAAUGCUAACUGAUAUCUUUGGACAAUAAGCUGCUGCUAGGCCCAAUAAAAUGUAGUCUUUUUUUUUGUUCUUCACAAAAUAAUAAAUUAAAAUUGCAGAUAGUUGUAGGAAAGUUUCCGAUUCCAUACAAGUUGCUGUUCUGCCAAAAUUUUAUUGUAGAGGUUUUUAUUUCACUUGAUGGUUCUUAAUAAAGACAUUCUCUAUCUGCAGUGACAUGGAAUGUGACUUGCACAUAUUCCCAAUUUCUUGCUCAAAAGACUCCAUCCUGCUGUGUCUCUCUUUCAUCAUUUUACAAUGACACAAUUGUGAACUGCCCAACAUGCUCUUGUGGCUGCCAAAAUCCAAAUGGGUCAAACUGUGUGAAGUGAGUUUACGUACUUUUUACUCUUAAUACACUUCAUACUAAGGUUCUAUUUUGUCUUUAUAAAUGUCUAAUGAGUAUGGUUUCAUUUUCACAGUGAGGAUUCACCUAAUCUACAAUCUGCAAUUGAUGGCCCUGGAAAAUGGACUGGUCAGCCUCUUGUACAAUGCACUUCCCACAUGUGCCCGAUAAGAAUCCACUGGCAUGUGAAGCUCAACUACAAGGAAUACUGGAGAGUGAAAAUCACUAUCACCAACUUCAACUUCCGCAUGAAUUACACGCAGUGGAACUUAGUCGCUCAGCAUCCAAACUUUGAUAAUAUCACUCAGCUGUUCAGCUUCAACUACAAACCACUUACCCCAUAUGGCAGUGGCAUAAGUAAGAAACUUGUCUUCUUUUCAAAAAAAGAAAUCAAAAUAAUCUCCUUCCCUCCCCUGAUGUUGUUUGCUUGUCCCAUUUUCAGAUGAUACGGCUAUGUUCUGGGGUGUAAAAUUCUACAAUGAUUUGCUGAUGCAAGCUGGUAAACUUGGGAAUGUGCAAUCAGAACUACUUCUCCGCAAGGACUCCCAGACUUUCACCUUCGAAAAGGGAUGGGCCUUCCCACGCCGAGUGUACUUCAAUGGUGACAACUGUGUCAUGCCAUCUCCUGAAAACUAUCCAUGGUUGCCCAACGCAAGCCCUCUAACAAAACAACCGCUGACCCUCCCACUUUUAGUAUUCUGGGUUGUGUUGGCUACUCUGUUGGCAUAUGCAUGAUGAGUGGGAUCAGGAGGUUUAGUGAGCUUCAAGUUGAUGUCAGAUUCCAUGAGGUGCACUGCAACGGGUCAUUUGUUCAUUCAAUUACAUGGUUGCACAGAAGAGAUGACACCACGCAGAGAAAAAAAGUUUAUGUGUGUGUGUUUUUGUAAGUUAAAGGGCCGAAAUGUAUUUCUUGUUUCGUAUAUACUGGCCCCACAACACUUAGUUACUGCAAACUAGGUAAUUACAGUUGCACCUUUUGUAUUUUAUAGCAAACUCAGAAUUUUUCAUUGGAUUAUAUGACCUCUUCUUGUAGUAAAUGCGCGGUUUUCGUUUUGUAAGAUUUGUUGAACAGAAAAGACAAUGAUGAUUGAGAUCACUAAGUUCUGGCAUCUUAAUUCAUUCCUGCUGCUCACUGAGCUUUUUGAGCUAAAUAGAUAACAUCUACUAAUGGUCAUUUUCACUGAACCAAAAGAGCAAGAACACAGAACAAGAAUAAUUGCAACACUGGGUUUAUUUACUACAGAAACUGCAAACCGCAAUCAUGAAUUGGCGCUCAUGUUAAUUUGCAGCAUCAAUUAAGAUGAUCUAUGACUGUGAAUCGUAAAAUGACCUAUCAAUAAAAGGAUGAUGUAAAUCCUAGUUGGCCUGGGAACUCCUAGGAGCCUGCUUAGUUGCUGUGCCUUGUCACAUACCAAAUGCUUAGGAAGCAGUUCUGAGCCGCUGAGAAGAAUAGCAAAAGGAUAGUUUGCUGAUAGUUGUGGCUUGUGGGCUACUGCCUAGUUGAAGAAUGGCCUGACAGGACAGGUGCUAUAUAAUUGUGUACACAACAUAUAUCCUUGAUACUGAAGUUCUAACCAGGAGCUGGAAGCAACGGAAGUACAGAACUGCAGAUUCAAUAAUAGAUCUAACCAGAGCAAAGAGCAACACUCAAACUUAUAACAGAACCACAACAAUGAAAUAUUUUAAUACCUGCAAAAUACAUCUCAUAAUCUUAUGAGCAACAAACGAAUUCAUCGAAACAACUCACUUUAUAUUCGAUGCAGUUGGAUUGCUCUGAACCCACUCUGAAGAAACAUGGCCUUCUGUGAAGGAAACCAAAGCUUUUGGCUUGUGCCCAGCCUCAUCGUGCUAGUGCUCUGAAGCCUCAGAGAGUCAGAGAUCAGAGGAGGGCAUAUGCCACCAUGACCUGGUAUAUAUAUCCAG
rnacentral:lncRNA from 1 species